UUUGGCCUCCCAAUAUGUUGGAAUUACAGGUGUAUGAGCCACCAACCCUGAACUUGUUUUUGUUUUUAAAAUAUAAGAGACAUGCAUAUGGUUAAAAAUAAAAACAAACAAAGUUGUACAUACUUCCUUUUCCAAAUCACCCUACCCCCUGAAACUUCUCUAGUGGCAACCCCACUUGGUACAGGUUCUUCAGUAGUUACCAUAAAAACUUUAGAUAUUACACUUGUAGUUCUUAUUUGGUCAACUGUAGAUGGUAUCUGUUGACUUCCUUUACAAUAAAUGAUUUGUUACACUCCCUCUCCUGCUUCUCCCUCCAAAUACUUUUAGUUCUUUUUGUGCUUGCUUUUGACUUAAAUAAUAUUCUUAUUUUAUAAUGUGCCAAUCUCAGAUAGUGCCUAUUGAUUCCUUGUUUUAAAAUAUGAAGAAAUUAGUGCACCCAGCCUUGAUUCUGUCUCUCUUCCUGCUCUUCAAUUCGAAUUUUGUUAAUUAUAUUAUUUUUGCAUUGUUAAGGUAUAUAACAUUUAUAUUUGAUUCUCUAAGUUGACUGACUGCUUUGUCUACCAGUUGGGUUUUAAACAUUGGGCCUUUUUCUCUAUGCCAUUGGUUUUCCUCAAGUAUCUGGAGAGCCUGAAUUUGUGAUUCAUGUUUGUGAGUGAAGGACCUGGUUGGAUCCUGUAGGUAACUGUUGUAGGAUUCCUUUGCUUUUGCAUGUCUAUUGUCCUGAAAGGCUUUUCUUUUGAAUGGGAGGUCUGACUUGGGUGUUGUAAGUGAAUUGGCAGCCUGCCUAGAGGCAGCUUGCCUACAAAGCAUUUUGGUAGCGAGGCAAGAGGCAGACUAGUACCCUCCACAAUUGCCAAAACGAGUAGUAGAUUACUUAGGGAGAAGUUAAAAGCUUUUAUUUCAUACCUAGUUACAGAUUUUUGAUCUUCUGCCUACUGGUUUGGUGCUGGGGUGUUAUCUGACACACUGCUCAGUUUCUCUCUUGUUUGCAAUGCUCGUGGAGAAGGCUCCUUGGGGGAGCUAGUUUACCUUGCUUAGAGAGUGAGAGAGUGGAGUUCAGGAUUUAGCCCAAACACACAAGCCUUUAUUGCCAGCUCUUUUUGAGGAUGGACCCAAGAGUUCUAGCUUCUUUGAUUACAGUUCUUUAAUGAGUUCUUCAUCAUCCUGUAUCUUUGUUUAUAUCAUCUCUGAGUCUCCUUUGUGAAAACUAGCACUUAUUCUCCUUGGUAUACUCCUGGGCUUAGGUGUCCUCUGCUGUAUCUUCAUCAUUCCAGUCUCAUCUACUUUCCAGUUGCAAGGAAUUACUUACCCUUUCUCGAUUACCAGUGUUAUUAACUUUCUCCCUCCCUCUCUUCCUUCUUUCCUUCCUUUUUUCCUUCUCUUGCUAUGCUGUUCCGGCUGGCCUUGAACUCCUAGGCUGAAGUGAUCCUCCUUCCUUAGCUGAGACUGUAGCAGGAGUGGCCACCAGAAACAGAGCUCUCAAACACCAAAUGGGGAAGGGAGGGGUUUAUUAUGGCCGGGAGCCGAUGUCCAAACCCAGCUCGUCUAAUGAAGGUUCUGCCUUUAUAUACGCUUACACUCUAGAUAUUACACAUGGAAGAAUCUUAGGUUUACAACUUUAGAAAUCACGAAUGAAAGGGUUUUGGAUUUACAGCUUUAGAAAUCACGUAUGAAAGGGUUUCAGGUUUAUAGUUGUAGAAAUCACAUAGGAAAGGGUUUCAGGUUUACAGCUUUAGAAAUCACAUAUGAAAGGGUUUCUGGGUUUACAGCUUUAGAAAUCACAUGUGAAAAGGCUCUGGUCUCCGGAUGGAGGAGUGGGGUGGGGGUUUCAUCUUAUUUUAAGUAAGAACAGUGUCUUUUGGAGAGUUUGCCCGAUACUAAGCGUGUUAUUUACAGGAAGGUGAUUCAGCAGGUGCCAAUUGGCCUGCUUUUUCUUUUUGAAAUGCCUUGUGGAAGUCAAGGGGGAAGUGAUCCCAGAGCCCUGGGUCUCCUUCCUCACCCCCUCCUUUGAGACCCUCACCGCUCUAUUAUAUCAGUGAGAGAUCUCACUCUCAUUCUCACUUUCCAGAUACUCUGAAGAAACUGAUUGAUAAUGUUUCACAUAAUAUAUUUGUGAUGUCAUUUUUUGGCUAACUACAGUAGUGAUGAAUCCCCUAAUCAUCUGAAGGAACUGGGGGAGUAAACAAGGUAGUAACAAACAAAUGCCUAUCAUUAUUAUAACACUUAUGAUGAGAGUCUUGAACCCUCCCAAGGAUGAGAACCAACCCCCAAACAAGGACUCAGGGUUAAAUCUGUGCCGUAUGUGCACAGGCACGUGUGCCAGUUUGGUCAUGUCUCACACAAUAUCCUCCACUGCUUGACCCUGGUCGUCUAUGUGUAGACAGCAGUUGGCUAGAUUGAAUUUUCCACAGACUCCUCCUUCAGCUGCCAGCAAAUAAUCUAGGGCCGGCCGGUUCUGAUAAAUCGCAUUUCUCAUUUGAGUUUCUUGUCGGGCCAAAAGGGACAGAGCUUUGCCCGUUUCAUGAGUGAGUAUUUUCAAAACAGCCUGCAACCGGAUGAUCCAGUUGAGCAUGUAAAUAGGAGUCCGGUAUCCCCAUGAGCCGUCCUCUGCCCAUGUGGCUGGCCCAUCAUACUCAAUAAUUCUCUCCCGUGGCCAUUCAUCAUCUGUUCAUUCUGCUACCUUUAGGUUUCUUUUCUCCCUAGCGGAGUAGACUGGAUACCCUAACAGCUCACCUGUCUUAACAGAUAAUAGGGAAAAAAGAGGGCUUAAUGUUGCCUGUGACUCAGCUACCUGUCCAUCUUUCAGGCAGCUGUAUGUAUGCCCUAUGUCCGCAUAACCAGUACAACCCAGGCAGGGCUGUCCAAUUUCUCCGGUACUCAGGAUGAUCCCAAGCAUCCUGUAAUUUUGGAAAUUAUAGGAGGGGGCUCUUUUCUGUAUAGUUUGAGCCCCACAAGGUUAUAGUGUUCACUGUUCCAUUAUUACAAUCACUAUUCUAUGCAGCUAAGCUUUUAUACCAGAAUAGUGAAGCCUGCUCCUUCUCUGGCCAAACAGUAUUGUCCAAUAAUUGAGACCUUUAAAACCCAGAAACUGUUGGUUUGAACCCUUUGAACUAAGGUCAGGUCAGGAACAGGGUCAGAGGGUAAUAACUCACGGGCUUCUUAUGGCCACCUGGCACCCAUAGUUGUCCCUUCACAUACUUAGCAAUAAGUAACAGUGAGGGAAUGGGCCACAUUUUCAGCAAGUUGGAGGCACAACUUCUUUGUCUUUUUCGGAAGCUCUGGUAUUGGUUUAUUUAAUAUACUAUAAAAGUGCUGUACACUGGCCAGCCUGAGCGUUUUUGGAUUUUUCCCUGAACCUGGAUACUGCCUCCUGGGUUAAGCCCUUUUCCAUUAAUUCCUAGCAUUACACUUUCCCCUUUUUUCACAUUUAGGGUCUUGGGGGUUUGUGAUUAUUACUUUUACUGGGCUACAAUGUCCUGAGACACAAGGGACAUUACUCCCUGGAAUGGUAUCUCUCCCUUUUAUAAGACGAACGGGAUUAUUUGUAUUAUUCUUCCAAGUGGCCCAGAUGACACAUGACCCAAAAAUGCAAUUAGCGUACCAGUAGGUUUUCUGGCAGAUAUACUUAUGCUCUUUUGCAUAACUUUGUUCCCAUUUGAGAGAACCACAGCACCCCCCUACUGAAAUGAUAGGCAUUGAUGGCUGCACAGGCAUUAAACCUUAGUGUAACCUGUUUUGGGCUUCCACUUUCCUUUGUUCUGGCUAUUAACUUAGCAGGGCUAUUUUAUCACCCUGUUAGGAGUUUAAUUUUAAAAGUUGUACGUGUAGGGGGCUCUGAUGGGUGAUGAUUAGGGGAUUCAUCACUACUGUAGUUAGCACACAGCAGGCUGUCCAUCCCCCGGAUUACACACCUUAUACUGUGUACCGUUAUAUAAAUGGGUCCCCUACUGUGUCCCUGUACAUUCAUAAUAACUGUAGGACAAAAGAAUGGCAGUAAUUUACGUCCUACCUUGGUAACCUGGUGCGCACACUGAGGGCAUUCUUCAAAAUUAGUUAAUGUCCCUAUUGUACAAGUCCAAAUAUUAAGAAGAACAAGUCCCACGAUGAAUUUCCUCAUGCUUCGGCCGUGUGUGGACCAGCCAGCUUCCAGGAUGUGGCUGGAGCAAGGUUUGUUGUCCUUUUUAAGGUGAUUCUGCAGUUGCUGUGUGGGUUUGGUAUGGCUUUCCAAGUUUCAGCUGCUGCCGGUUUCACACAGCUGUGGUGGAUCCAGGCUGGGAUUCCCUCUACCUUUAUAGCUGUGGGGGUGGUCAGGAUCAUGGUAUGGAGUCCUUUCCACCGUGGCUUCGGAGGGGCUGCACUCCAGUCGUUUAUCCACACGUGAUCACCUAGUGAGAAAGGGUGAAAUGGGAAGAAUAAGCCUACAGGACAUUUGUCAUUUAUCCUGGUUGAAAUAUCCUGAGCAAUUUUCUUUAGAGCUGGUAAGUAGCAUCCUAACUCAAUCUCUCCACACUCCCGAGGAGUUCCCGGGAGUGCCCGGGGUGGCGGGGGCGGGGGUGGGUUGGGGUGGUCUAUGAUAUAAGGCUUUAUAGGGGAAUAUCUUGUUUUCCUAAAGGGAUUCCAUUUAAUUUUGAAUAACACCAAGGGAGGUGCCUGUACCCACUUUGAUCCUGUUUCCUGAUACACUUUCGCUAAGCUAUUUUUGAUGGUCCGGUUCAUUCUUUUCACUUUUCCCAAACUCUGAGGGCAAUAGGCAGUGUGCAGUUUCCAAAGUAAUACCCCAAGGCCAUCACUGUCUUCUGGGCUAAGUUCACCACAAAUUCUGGUCAGCUGUUUGACCUGAUUCGCAGUGGCAGUCCAAACCUAGGAACGAGAUCUUGAAGCAGCAAAUGGGUUAUUUCAUGGGCUUCCUGGCACCAGGGGCAAAGUGGCAGGGUUUAGGGUGUUGCACAGACCCUAAUGGUAAUGCAGAGAUUUUUACUUUAGCAGGAUCAGGUAUUUGGCAGGCCUAGCAUUUGUUAACCAGUGAUGUACUUUGGUAUUCAUUAGGGUCACUACUCUGUGAGGUGCUUUCAUAUUUAAAUUCUUCCCAGAGUUAAGGCUAGAAUCUUAACUGCCAUUCCUCUUCUUUUUUUUUUUCCCCCAUACAGCAUGAAAAGCUUUGUCAAAUCCUCUAGCCCCAAAGCCAGGUCUGACAGAAGUUUUGCUUUUAGUUUUUGCCCCAUUCAAAGGGUUUCUUGUCUUCUCCCCGCCCCACUUUGUCACUUUGUGUAAGGGUUUGGCCAGUACUUCUAAGUUUGGAAAUCCACAAUUUACAAAACCCACAGCUCCCAGGAGCUCUCUCACCUGCCUUCUAGUCUCAGGUUUUGGCAGGUUGCAAACAGCUUGCUUCCUCUCUGCUUCUAGGCUGUGUUCCCCCUUCCGGAUGGUGAGCCUCAGAUAUUGCAUUUGCUUUUUGGCAAAUCUGGGCUUUCUUUUAGACACUUUAUACCCACAGUCCUCCAGGUGCUGAAGUAAGGCAUCUGUUCCUUUUGCACACCCGACUGCCGUGGGGUGUCCUAAUAGAAAGUCAUCAGCAUAUGGGGUCAGCGUGCAAGCAAGAAACUUCUGGGGGGGGCAGUCACAGGCUAGUGCCUCCCCAAGGAUGGUGAGAGAGUUUCUGAGCCCCUGGGAAGCUGGGUCCAGGUGUAUUGGGUGGUUAUACCUGUUUCUGGAUUUCUUCCAUUGAAAUGCAAAUGGUUCUUGACCCUCCGAGGCCAGUCCAAUGGUAAAGAAAGAUUCUUUAAGUCCAAUCAAGUGAACCAGCUAUCCUCUGCUAGCAAUAAUCCCAACUGCGUGCACAAGUUGGGUGUAGGUGGGUGCAAAGUUAUGCAAGCCCUGCACUGGCCUGGGCGGAAAUACCAAUCUUUUAGUCCUUGGUUAGGGAAGGUCUUCACCCUCCUUCCUGAGGGAUGAUGAGAACCUGGAUAACCCCUGCGUGAGGCAGGCUUAGCUGCAGGGUGUCUUUCUUAUUGAAUGGGAUAGCCGUAGCCCUUAAUUUGCACAACAAGUUUUACCUGAGGAGGGGGUGUAGGAGACAGUUCAUCAAGGUCUGUUCUUUUAACAGCUUCAUAGCUCUAACGAUAUUAGUUUUUUUCUUUACAGGGCUGUCGUUUGGACCAUGGGCUCUUUGGGGGCAGAUGAAUCCGGCCCCCUUCUCCUUUAGUCCAGUGGCCCUUUCAUUAGAUUGAACAGAGCCCCUUAACUUUUGUUUGAAGCUUUGUGCUCAGGGUCUUCCUGUUUUCCUGUUAGCUGGGGGCACAGGUCCUUCCAAUAUCCUACUUUUUUACAGAAUGCACACUGAUCGAGUUGCAGGCAUUGGCGGGCAGACUGUGGGGUUUUCCAGGAACCCACCUUUUCCCACGCACUUGGGGGCACUUCUCUCAUAGCCACAGCUAUUAAGUCAGCAUUUCAUCGAGGCUGGCACUCCUUUUUUCUACGACUUUCUCCACGGCUCACCACUUCUUGGUUCACAAACACCUGGUUAGCUAUCUCCAGUAGCUGUGAAGCAGGCAUGCCCGCAAAUCCUGCCUGUUUCUGCAAUUCUCGUCUAAUGUCUUCUGCACACUGCCUAAUAUCAUAUUUACUAUGCAUUGGUCUUCAGGGCUUUUAGGAUCAAAAGAAGUAUACAUGCGAAAUGCUUCACCCAGCCUUUCAUUCAUGUUAAAAAGAUACAUAAGCAGCUGAUAGUAAUCAGCGGGAGUGGGGUUAUGAGUCUGUAUAAUCGUUUGCAGUAGGUGAGCAAGAGCUUUUGGCUCCUUGGUAUCAAAAACUUUUCUGCCACUGGAGCUGCCAGAACCUUGGAAGUCCUUGUCUUUCAGUGCGGGGGAAUGGUGGUUUCUAGCAGUCUGUCCCUGGGCCACUAAAAUAGAUGCUGUCUUUCCUCUCAGCCACUUUGGAGGAUUCAAAACUAACUGCAACCACGAAUCUAUGUAUGGAAAUUGAUCAAGGUGUUCUAGCUUGCCACAUAUAACCUCAUGCCUUACUUUGGAGACAAGAGACCUGUCUAGGGUGCCCUCUGGGGGCCAGCCUACCCCAAAUGCUAGACAAUCUACCUCACAUAAAGUCCUUAAUUUCUCUGGUGUCAUAGCUACUCUAUAAUUCCCACUAAAUCCUUUCUUGAAAUUUUUCAGCAUGGUCUCUAAAGGGGUGGGCUUGCUGUGAGAGUGACGCAUGCUUACACGCUAAAGAAACAGUUCCCACAGUUAAGAGAGUGUCACUUCAGCCACAGCAAGAUUCAGCACACACUCCCCAAUUUACAUUCAUUUCAAUCCUUUCACAAUGCCUAGAUGGCAAAGGCUUCUCCACUCAGCCUUAUGUGGCUGUCUCUAAUUCUAGCUAGCUAGCCCUCCAAAUUGCAUGACACAUGAGGCCCCUCCUUCUGAUAGGCCCAAUACUCCCACCUUUCACAACUGAAGAGUCCAGUUGGACCCUUCUACACACACACACACACACACACACACACACACACACACACACACAAAACUGCUCUCCUCCACCCAAAUCGAAACCAUAAGCAAAAAGCUUCCAAGGUUCGUUACAAAGGGAGAGAGAAAGAGAGCGCCAAGUUCAAAAGUGUCAAAUCUGGCACACAUGGGUGAUCAGGCCAUGCUUCCACCUAGAGGAGGUGGGCUAUCUUCCCCGGGAUCAAUCCUACCAUAUUUCUGUUGCCUGGACGUUCCACGUACCCGUUCCUUCUUGGUGUUCAGCUGCUGGGCAGAUCCACACUGUGGGGGCUUUCCCGCUCUGGCAAGGCUUUUCACUGGGCAAAUACCUGCCUAGGAGUGCUCUCAGGAACCAUGUCACCACAGUGGGCGGGAGCCCACCACAGGGAUGCUCUAAAGGGCUAGGCAAACCACCUGAGAGGUUCUUUCCCACCAUCUGCCAACCAAAACUCGCUUCCUGGCCAACGCACCAAAUGUAGCAGGAGCAACCUCGAGAAACAGAGCUCUCAAACACCGAAUGGGGAAGGGAGGGGUUUAUUGUGGCCAAGAGCCAGGCAAUGAGUUGUCCAAACCCAGCUUGUCUAAUAAAGGGAGGUUCUGCCUUUAUAUAAGCUUACACUCUAGAUAUUACACAUGGAAGAAUCUUAGGUUUAGAGCCUUAGAAAUCACAAGUGAAAGGGUUUUGGAUUCACAUCUUUAGAAAUCAGAUACGAAAGGGUUUCUGGGUUUACAGCUUUAGAAAUCACGUGUGAAAAGCCUCUGGUCUCCGGAUGGAGGAGUGGGGUGGGGUUUGAUCUUAUUUUUAAGUAAAAACAGUGUCUUCCAGAGAGUUUCUCCAAUACCAAGUGUGUUAUUUACAGGAAGGUGAUUCAGGAGGCGCCAGUUGGCCUGCUUUUUCUUCUGUUGAAAUGCAUUGUGGAAGUCAAGGGGGAGGUGAUCCCAGAUGCCUGGGUCUCCUUCCUCAGGACUACAAGCGUGCACCACCAUGCCUAGCUCAAGGAUUUAUUCUUUAAAAACAAAUGAAAGGAAUUUCAAGGAAACUUUAGGAGGAAAGGUUGAUGCUUAGUCUAUGCCUCCUUUUUAAUGACACCAAGAGGCUGCUAUAUCCUAAAACUUUUUUGUAACUAGUCUGUUAGAAUCAUUGGAAGAAGUAGCUCCCUGGCCACCAGUCAAAGGUAGUCCAAAUAAGUAUGUAAGUCAAGCUUUAGAUAUAGCCACUUAGAGUGAAUACUAGAUUUCUAGAAGAACCAAGAUGCUAUAAGCAAUAGAAAAGAACUGUUCCUUUCCAUAAAAGGACUACAGUCUUGUUAUAGGUACAAGGUAUGCAUAUCUAAUAGUUGGAAACCUUACCAACUUUCUUCAGUUAUAGAAAUGUAUGGUGUUGACCAUAAAUACUAUCAGAGGUUAAAGAAGGAAGAAGCUAUUGUAAACUGGUGUCAGUGGAUGGAUAUUUUAUGGAAGAAUUUGGAGUUUGAACUAGAACUUAGUAAGGGUGGAUAGAGAUUUAAUUAGUAGAGAAGGGAAGGAAGAAUGCUUUCUAGAUAAGUUAAGGGAAUGAGGGACAAUGGGCAAUGGAGCUGGAAAUGACCAUAGCUUGAAGAACUAUGGAAAGACUAACAUGACUGAGAAAGGUUGGAGAAGAAUGGGAAUGAGGCUUGACAAGGGUGGCAUGUAAAAAGUUUUGGCUCUGACUUCAGGUACUGAUUUGACGACUGAGUUAUUGUGGUGAAUGUGCUACUGUUAUGAAUUGGUUUCCACUUCUUUAAAAAGAAUUCCAUUAUCUUAGGCAAAGUAUAACCCAAGUAUUGAGGACUUUAAAUAGUUUAUAGGCUGGAUGUGAUGGCUCAUGCCUGUAAUCCCAACACUUUGGGAGGCUGAGGCAGGCAGAUUUCCUGAGGCCAAGAGUUUGAGACUAGCCUGGGCAACAUAAUGAGACAUGUCUCUGCAAAAAAUAACAAAGUAAUUGGGUAUGGUCGCAUGUGCCUGUUACUUUUAUCUACUUGGGAGAAUAGGCAGCAGAAUUGCUUGAGCCCAGGUGUCCAAGGUUACAGUGAGCUACGGUCAUGCCACAGCCCUCCUGCCUAGGUGACAGAGCAAGACCUUAUCUAAUAAAUAAAUAAAUAAGUAAAUAAAAGUUAAAAAAGCAAUAUUCUUAUAAGGAAUUGAUUCGGCAAACAAAGUGAAUAUCCAUUUUAGUCUUUUGAGCAAGAGAAAAGUGAUGAAUGGUGAAACGUGGUUUGGUAUUUUAGACAGAUUUAAGUAGUUGUAGGACGUAGAUGGAUUGAAGGAAA